AACUAGCUAAAAAUGAGAAACAGUAAAUCAUCAUGGCUCUGACCUACACAGAUACAAAGUGAGCUUGUCGGCACUGGGGAGCUAAUCAGGAAAAGGACUGAUGGAAAGAGGAAGAGAGAACAUCUCUGUGGCAAAUCCCUCGUGACUGAGGACCGCAUAUCUGAUGAGUAAGCUUGGAUUUUGAAGACUUCAACAACUUGGCUGCAAGUUGAUGGGAGAAUUGACAUUCUAACCCAGCUCAGUUUGAAGCCUAUAGUCCACUCCACUCCACUCUACCAGCAAAGAACAUAGCCUUGCAAAACAGAGAACAGAAAACAGAAAUGCUUUUUCUUCACUCCCUGUUGGGAGGAUUCUGGAAUAGAGCUGU
rnacentral:lncRNA from 1 species